UACGAAGGGGGCUAGCGUUGCUCGGAAUCACUGGGCGUAAAGCGCACGUAGGCGGAUUGCUAAGUCAGGGGUGAAAUCCUGGAGCUCAACUCCAGAACUGCCUUUGAUACUGGCGAUCUCGAGUCCGGGAGAGGUGAGUGGAACUGCGAGUGUAGAGGUGAAAUUCGUAGAUAUUCGCAAGAACACCAGUGGCGAAGGCGGCCCCCUGGUUGGAUACUGACGCUGAGACGCGAAAGCGUGGGGAGCAAACAGG
rnacentral:rRNA from 1 species